AAGUUUUGGGCUCAAUCCGAAAUCGAUUGGGCCAAGAAAUUGGACUACUCAUUUUCGUAAGAAGUUUGUUCUGAAAUGGAUUGGUUGGUGUAUUGCAUAGUUUUAGCUGUUGAAUUUCACUCAACUCAACAAAACUCCUCCCACCAUAUUAUGUUGUUCCCCAAGUUUUGGGCUCAAUCCGACAUCAAUUUGUCCAAGAAAUUGGACAAUUCAAGUUCGUACGAAGUUCGUUCAGAAAUGCAGUGGUUUGUGUAUUGCAUAGUUUUAGAGAUUGCAUUUCAGUUAAAACUC
rnacentral:lncRNA from 1 species